AAUAAUACCCCUAUAAAGUCGUAAUCAGCCCAUGUUGGAAAGACCAAGAUUUAUCGGGUGUAAGAUGGACUUGCGUCUGAUUAGCUACGUUGGUGACGAUACAAAGCUCACCAAGGCGACGAUCAGUAAGCCGGCUUGAGAGAGUGUACGGCCACAUUGGGACUGAGACACGGCCCAAACUCCUACGGGAGGCAGCAGUGGGGAAUUUUGCACAAUGGGGGAAACCCUGAUGCAGCGACGCCGCGUGAUUUAGAAGGCCUUCGGGUUGUAAAAAUCUUUGUUUACGGGAUGAAAAUGACAGUACCGUAAGAAUAAGGUCCGGCUAAAUACGUGCCAGCAGCCGCGGUAAUACGUAUGGACCGAGCGUUGUCCGGAAUCAUUGGGCGUAAAGGGUACGUAGGCGGCCUAGUAAGUUAGAAGUUAAAGAAUAUAGCUCAACUAUAUAAAGCUUUUAAAACUGCUAGGCUUGAGAGAUGGAAGGGAAAGUGGAAUUCCUAGUGUAGCGGUGAAAUGCGCAGAUAUUAGGAAGAAUACCGGUGGCGAAGGCGACUUUCUGGUCAUCAUCUGACGCUGAGGUACGAAAGCGUGGGUAGCAAACAGGAUUAGAUACCCUGGUAGUCCACGCUGUAAACGAUGAGUGUUAGGUUCUUGGAAUAAUCUGGGAGCCGCAGCUAACGCAUUAAACACUCCGCCUGGGGAGUACGCACGCAGUGUG
rnacentral:rRNA from 1 species